UACGUAGGUGGCAAGCGUUGUCCGGAAUUAUUGGGCGUAAAGAGCGCGUAGGCGGGAUAACAAGUCUAUCUUAAAAGUGCGGGGCUCAACCCCGUGAGGGGAUAGAAACUGUUAUUCUUGAGUGCAGGAGAGGGAAGUGGAAUUCCCAGUGUAGCGGUGAAAUGCGUAGAUAUUGGGAGGAACACCAGUGGCGAAGGCGGCUUUCUGGACUGUGUCUGACGCUGAGGCGCGAAAGCCAGGGGAGCGAACGGG
rnacentral:rRNA from 1 species